UAGAAUGUGGUGUAAUAGUGGUAGCACGAAGAUCUUUGGAUUCUUAGGAUUAGGUUCGAUUCCUAUAAUUCUAG
rnacentral:tRNA from 1 species